GGGCCAUGGACCGGUCCUUAAGGAGAGAACAAAGAUGAGGGAGAGAGAAGGAAGGAGAGGAGGGAGAAGGAGAGAGGAAAGAGGAGAGUUUGCCACAAAAAUCUUGCUGAGUGUACAGAUCUGAGGAUGAAGAGAAGAAGAAGAAUUUAGCUCAAGGGGUGAAGAAAAUCAAGGCUGAGGUGAGCAUCAUGAAGAUGAGUAGGCGAGUGGCUGGUAUAGAGAGCUCCUCGAA